rnacentral:tRNA from 1 species
GCGGGAGUGGCGGAAUUGGCAGACGCGCCGGACUUAGGAUCCGGUGGUAUUACACCGUGGGGGUUCGAGUCCCCCCUCUCGCA